rnacentral:rRNA from 1 species
AAUGUGACCGUUUAUCGCAAUCUGCCGACCACUCGCGAUUCAAUCAUGACUUCGUGAUAAAAGAUUGAGUGUGAGGUUAUAACGCCGAAGCGGUAAAAAUUUUAAUUUUUGCCGCUGAGGGGUUGACCAAGCGAAGCGCGGUAGGUUUUCUGCUUAGGAGUUUAAUCAUGUUUCAGACUUUUAUUUCUCGCCAUAAUUCAAACUUUUUUUCUGAUAAGCUGGUUCUCACUUCUGUUACUCCAGCUUCUUCGGCACCUGUUUUACAGACACCUAAAGCUACAUCGUCAACGUUAUAUUUUGAUAGUUUGACGGUUAAUGCUGGUAAUGGUGGUUUUCUUCAUUGCAUUC